GACACUUAAAAACACAAACUAAAUUGAUUUCUAACUAAUCUAACACUUCAAAAUAAAUGGGGAUUUGGUUUUGACGAAAUUGAAAACAAAACAGAAACUUGUAACUAAAACAGAUUUUAAACGAAUUUGGUUAAAGUGAAUGGAUAGAAAGCUAGCUAAGGGGUUCUUUUCCACACAUGUCACACUUGCAUACAAAACGAUUUCCAAUUGUUUUUCAAUAACCCAUGAAUUCUCAACACCCCAAGUUAAUUAGAUACGCUUAAAUUAACUUUCAGAUUUCCCUUAAGUCAAUGAAUUGGAUGGAAAAAGCGCAUCGCAAUCAAAUUAUUCAUCAAAAGCUCCCUACAUGAAAGCGCAUAAUAGAGAUACAAUCAAAGAUGAUUACGUUCAAUGGAAAUCAUAAGCAUUGACGAGGCACUCGUAACUAUGAAAGUGUAUGAAACUUAUGCCCAGAAUUUACUUAACACAAUUGUGAUCAACAACCUUUACUACUUGCGAAUAUAAGUUCAUAACGAUUAGGUGAAACUCCCUUAUAUCCUAGCAUUAGAUUUAUGCAUGAAAAUUAAGCGUGCACUCUCAACCAACACACACAAAUCAGUUUAAUUCAAAUAGAUAAGCAAAUUGAAUCCACAACUUAUGAAACGCAAUUGAAAGUAAUUAAAUCAUAUAGCAAGCAUAAACAUAGUUUCGAAUCCCCCCUAGCCAAGGGGGGUUCAGUUCCUCAUACGCACAAAGCAAAGAUAAAUAAGUUUAGACAUUGAAAUCCAAAGAAAGAGAA
rnacentral:lncRNA from 1 species